ACAAUCACUUGUCACCGGAUAAAAACAAUAAGUUGAAUAAAGCAAAUUAUGAAAUUCAUUUGGAAUUGCUGAGCGCCUUCAAAGGAUUUGUAGAACUGGGUCAGAGAUAAUGGCUGCUUUGGAAUUGGAUAAUUAAUAAGUUUUAAAAAGUAUAAACAUAUGCCCACAUGCAUUACACCGCUCCUCAUCACGCCCCGCUCUUGCGUGUUAAUUAUCGUAUGCGCUGCGGUCAAGCUGCUGGAGAGCAGAGCAGAGACAAACUGGCGGUUCAGAGACACAAACAAACACCAACGAGACGAAGGGCCCGCAGUCCACAGGAGCAUACAGUCAGGUCGUUGGUCGUCGAUCGGCCCCGUAAAGUGUGUGUGUGUGUGUGUGUUUGUGUGUAUCGUACACUCUGUGCCACAGUUUUUGGGGGUGAGAUGGGCUGUUCUUAAAUAAUUUAUUAUAUUCGUCGAGUUGCAUGCUCAUAUAUUAUAUUUCCCUCAGUCCCUCAAAG